rnacentral:rRNA from 1 species
AAUCUUGCGCAAUGUGCGAAAGCCUGACGCAGCCAUGCCGCGUGAAUGAUGAAGGUCUUAGGAUUGUAAAAUUCUUUCACCGGGGACGAUAAUGACGGUACCCGGAGAAGAAGCCCCGGCUAACUUCGUGCCAGCAGCCGCGGUAAUACGAAGGGGGCUAGCGUUGCUCGGAAUUACUGGGCGUAAAGGGCGCGUAGGCGCAUCGUUAAGUCAGGGGUGAAAUCCCGGGGCUCAACCUCGGAACUGCCCUUGAUACUGGCGAUCUUGAAUAUGAGAGAAGUAAAUGGAACUCCGAGUGUAGAGGUGAAAUUCGUAGAUAUUCGGAAGAACACCAGGGGCGAAGGCGACAUACUGGCUCAUUACUGACGCUGAGGCGCGAAAGCGUGGGGAGCAAACA